GGUUAGGAGUACUAUAGAGGAAGGGUUAAGGUUAGGAGUACUAUAGAGGAAGGGUUAAGGUUAGGAGUACUAUAGAGGAAGGGUUAAGGUUAGGAGUACUAUAGAGGAAGGGUUAAGGUUAGGAGUACUAUAGAGGAAGGGUUAAGGUUAGGACUACUAUAGAGGAAGGUUAGGAGUACUAUAGAGGAAGGGUUAAGGUUAGGAGUACUAUAGAGGAAGGGUUAAGGUUAGGAGUACUAUAGAGGAAGGGUUAAGGUUAGGAGUACUAUAGAGGAAGGGUUAAGGUUAGGAGUACUAUAGAGGAAGGGUUAAGGUUAGGAGUACUAUAGAGGAAGGGUUAAGGUUAGGAGUACUAUAGAGGAAGGGUUAAGGUUAGGACUACUAUAGAGGAAGGUUAGGAGUACUAUAGAGGAAGGGUUAAGGUUAGGAGUACUAUAGAGGAAGGGUUAAGGUUAGGAGUACUAUAGAGGAAGGGUUAAGGUUAGGAGUACUAUAGAGGAAGGGUUAAGGUUAGGAGUACUAUAGAGGAAGGGUUAAGGUUAGGAGUACUAUAGAGGAAGGGUUAAGGUUAGGAGUACUAUAGAGGAAGGGUUAAGGUUAGGAGUACUAUAGAGGAAGGGUUAAGGUUAGGAGUACUAUAGAGGAAGGUUAGGAGUACUAUAGAGGAAGGUUAGGAGUACUAUAGAGGAAGAGAUGUUGUGUGUGUGUGUGUGUGUGUGUGUGUGUGUGUGUGUGUGUCCCAGCUACUCAAUGCUCUAGUUCUACUGGUAGCGUUAAGAGGCCCAUUUUUUUUUAUUUUAUAGCUUCUACAGAACACCAGGACAGGAGGUAAAAAUAGGAGAGAGAGGGAGGAAGGGAAGAUGUUUGAGGACAUGGAGGAGUGUGUAUCUGAGGGAGAGAAAGAGAGAGAGAAAGGACAUUUGUGUGUGUUGAUUAGUGUGUGUGUGUGUGUGUCUUGCUGCGGUAGAGAGGAGGGAGGAGAAGAUGGAUGAGGGAAGGAGGAAGGGACAGUUUUUCAGGGUCGGAGUUGACAGAUGAGGCUGUCAAGUUUUAGUGUGUGUGUGUGUUUAUAUAUGUGUGUGUGUGUGUUUGAAAGCUCUAGAGACCUCCCUAGCAGUUAGGUCAGCUAUCCCAGAGGGCCGAGGGAGAGAAACAGGUUUUUACCUGCAGAGUCUGUUCUGUACCUGAACAGGUGAACCAAGAGGACACCUUAGUCCCUUUUAAGAACCACUACCAGACCUCUGUACUGGGUUAAUACCAGACCUCUGUACUGGGUCAGUACCAGACCUCUGUACUGGGUCAAUACCAGACCUCUGUACUGGGUUAAUACCAGACCUCUGUACCUGAACAGGUGAAACAAGAGGACACCUUUGUCCCUUUUAAGAACCACUACCAGA